UACAGAGGUCUCAAGCGUUGUUCGGAUUCAUUGGGCGUAAAGGGUGCGUAGGCGGCGCGGAAAGUCGGGUGUGAAAUUUCGGAGCUUAACUCCGAAACUGCAUUCGAUACUCCCGUGCUUGAGGACUGGAGAGGAGACUGGAAUUUACGGUGUAGCAGUGAAAUGCGUAGAGAUCGUAAGGAAGACCAGUGGCGAAGGCGGGUCUCUGGACAGUUACUGACGCUGAGGCGCGAAAGCGUGGGGAGCAAACAGG
rnacentral:rRNA from 1 species